CCGAGGCAUUCAAGCAUGACAUUUGAAAUAGAGGGUGCAUUGACUUGUAUGAGCCCUGUAGUAUGUUAGUCUCCUGCAAUGUAAAGGUGUAAAGUUAAAUUUAGAAGUUGCUGGUACAACCCAUGGUUUUUCACAGCUGUGUUUUCACUCUCGCUCCUUUGUGGAAGAAUGUGAGAUUUAGAAGAUGCACUAUUUAUCUAGAGUUCUUCUGCAUUUUUGAGAGGAGAAUUUUACCAAACAUUUUUACAAAUGUCUCCCUCCUCUCGUAUGAUACCAUAGCACUGCUUAAAGCACUCUUCCACGGCACCCCAGGAUAUGUCUCAGCCCUGAAGCUAUUCCCGGUUGCAUGCUGAUAAAGAACAAAUGCUGCCUAACAGCAGCAGAGGACGCUCAGCAUUUCCUUGUUUCCUGGUGGCAAAAAUAUCUGCAAGUACUCACCAUCUCUGCAAAUUAUCCUGUACUUGAUGACAGAUGGUCACGAGGGUGUCUGUGGCUGAAUAUCUCUAGAGAGUCUUUGGACAAGCUGAAACUCCCAGGACCAGCUGAAUCCUCAAGGUGGCAGCCAAAGUUGGGCAGAGAGAUGGAAUUGCACAUCUGCCAGAAGCAGGAAGGAAGAGAAGAUCUGCAACCACUGCAAUGUGGACUUAGACACCUAUACACCUCCUCCAGUGGCUCUCUGUUCAGUGUCUUCUGCUGCAUCCCAAAAACCGGACUGCAGCUUCUCUACGUGUCUGGAAACAAUAGCUGUGGGACAGAUGGACAGACAGCCAGAUGCAACGGGGGGAAGUGUGGAAGUGCAGAAAGAAGUGGGG
rnacentral:lncRNA from 1 species